ACACGUCACUUCCGGUAGUGACUGAGCCCCGCGGCGCGCGCCGGCUCCGCCAGGAGCGUGGGGUUGCCACGGCAACCAGCGCGGGCUGCCCUAGGGAUCCUCCGGAGUAGGAAGCUUCCCGCGCCAGCUGCGCUCCGCGUUGCGAUAACAUUUAUUUAUAACUGCUGAUAGACUUUGGUGUUCUCGACAGUUCCAUAUCAGGAGUGAAUUAGAGGAGAGAAGCAGUGUGGUGCAGUGGCAUCUUCACCAGGAGUAGAUUCCAUCUCAAGAAACCACUUUGCUCAUCCAAAGGAUGAGCACUUCAUCCAUUGAAGUUUUAUCACGAGAUCACAGCAAUUCAGUCUCACCUUCAGGCUCCACUUCUAAUCCUGGUUCUCUUGCAAUUUCCACCACAUCUGCAGUUACUUCCUCCAGUGAAGUCAUGAGCCCCUCGAAGUAAUCUGUGAAGGUAUUUUAUCUCCCAGCCUUCUAAGAUGGUAACCCAACUGGUGUCUAGAAGACAAUUGCCUUUGAGGUUUGUUGACUUUCAUGAGAUGAAGCAAUUUCAAGUGUGACUCAUUUUAUCGCUUGGCUCGAUCUCACGACCCUGGGAUCAGGACCAGAGCUGAAACCCAGAGUCUGACGCUUAACUGACUGUGCCACCCAGGUGCCCCAGAAUCAACCGUCUUCUGUGGUACAUAGUUACGUGCCUGCAUGGACUAAAGAGCUAUGCCAGUCUCCUUAUUAGGACUUUUAAUAAAUUCGCUUGUUUUCAGCAAAGGCACUUGCAAACCCAGUAUCUUCAGAAGCCCAUGCUUCCUUUACUGAUGGAUAUGUUCUGAGUCUCUGUGGCAUGACUCAAUUUGCAUAUUGUUGGGAUUUUUCUUCUUCAGGUCAUUAACAUAACAGAGAAAGCUAAAGCCUGUAUCAUUUACAGCUAGGUUAUCAGCUUUCCAUCUUCCACUGUUUUGUAGACCAUAAUUGUCUGCUGUCAUCACCUCUUCCUUUUGUGGGCUUAAGCACACACAAAAAAUUUUUUGUUAUUUUAGUGGAAUUUCAGGAAGGAGCAAAGAGAAAUAUGUUUUUUGUUUUGUUUUGUUUUUCUAUCUGGUAUAAUUAACAGGAAGACCUGUCAUUACCUGAGCUUUCUUUCUAUUGAAGACUAACUUCCUACGUGUGAGGAAAUAGGUGCUCUGUGUAAUCAUUUGGCACAGACUCCUGACCAACACUAAAACACCUGUAUAUUAGGAAAGGAGAAUUUUUAAAAGAUGGGUUUUUUGUUUGUUUAUUUUGUUUGUUUGCUUAAUUAAAAGGAUGAAAUUUUUUUCUUAGAUAUCGACUUUUUUCUAUAAGUGAGCUUUUUUAAUGUUGUGUUUCUCAUUCUUGUACUGCUUUUUCUUUAUAUCCAGCUGACGUUUGGGUAAAAUGGGCAGAGGAAAAAUAUUCUGCUCAUAGAAUACUUUUACAUUCCACAUGCAUUCGUAACAAGAUAAAACUUUUAUUCUAUUUCAAGACCAUGGAUAGGAGAAAUAGCCUCCCCCGUUUUCUCUUAUAAUUUGUUUGAAAUACAAAUAGAGAAACUAUUGACAUGUUUAGAAGGGCUUUUUAAAACAUAGGUUCAACCUUAAUUUUCAUCUUCGAGAAAAAAGUCACUAAGUCUAAUUGUGCACUAGAAGAGUCUGGUGGGACCACUGUCAACUCACAGGGGCUAUAUGACAUAUUUAAAACUUUCAAGGGAAACACAUUUAUUAGCCACUUAAUGAAAUACUAGCCUACAACUUCGGACUUGGAUUGUGCUACAUUGCUUUUAUAGCAGACAGAUCUUUGUGAGGCUGAGUGCUCAGUGGUUACUAUGGUAAAAAGUAGACAGCACAUGAAAAUCAACGUGGAACAGGAAAUGAGGGCACCGUUCCUAAUCUGAUUCCAAAGUUUGAGUGUACAGGGCCUAUAUUAGUCAGGGUUCUCCAGAGAAACAGAACCAGUAGAUACAAAAAUACACACACACAGACACACAGAUACAGGGAUAUAGAGAAAGAGAUAUAUCACGAGGGGUUGGCUCAUGUGAUUAUGGAGGCUGAGAAGUUCUGUGAUCUACCUGUCUGUUAACUGGAAGCCCAGCAAAGCUGGUGUUGUAGGUUGAAAACAAACCCAAAGGCCUGAGAAUGAGGAGAGCUGAUGGUGUGAAUCACACUUUGAAUCUGAAGUCCCAAGAACCGGAAGUGCUGAUGUUUGAAGACGGGAGAAGAGAGAUAUCUCAGUUCAGGUAGAGAACAGAGAGCAAAUUUGCCCUUCCUGUGCCUUUUUGUUCUACUCAGGCCCUCAACAGAUUGCAUGAUGCCCACCUGAGUUUGGGAGGGCAAUCUCCUUUAUUCAGUCUACAGAUUCAAAUGAUAAUCUCUUCCAGAAAUACUGUCAGAGACACAUCCAGAAUCAAUGUGUUACCAGCUCUCUGGGCAUCCCUUAGCUCUGUCAAGCUGACACAGAAGUUAAUCAAUACAGUGCCCAACAGGUGCAUGGACCUCACUGGUUAAGUGUAGUGUUGAUAAAAUGUGUCCAAAAUUAUUUGGUAAUGUUUCUUCUAAGACUUGGAGCCUAAUUUUUUCUCAUCUUGAGUAUGAGCUGAACUCAGUAACUAGCUUCUAAAAAGUCAAUAUGGCAGACGUGACUGUGUGGCUUCCAAGUCUAUUUCAUAAAACGCAUUGCAAGUUCUCCCUUGGAAUGUUCAUUUCCAAGGAAGCCAGCUGCCAUGUUGUAAAGACAAUCAGGAAGCCCUAUGGAGGUGCCCAUGUGACAAGGAACUGAGCCUGUUUUCCAUCAGCCGACAGGAAACUGAAGCUUUCUGCCCAUAGUCACAUGAAUGAGCCAUCUUGGGAGUGGGCCUUUCAGCCCUACUUGAUGUCCUGACUACAACCUCAGGAGAGAUUCUGAGGCACAAACACCCAGUCAAGCCCAUCCCAAAUUCCUGGUCCACAGAAAAGAUGAAAUGAUAAAUACAAUUGACUCUUGAACAACUCAGGUUCGAAGAGCAUGGGUCCACUUGUACAUGGGAUUUUUUCCAUAGAGCACAACACUGUGAAUUUAUUUUCUCUUCCUUAUCACUUUUCUUUUCUUUUCUUUUAAAGUAAGUGCCAGCCCAGCAUGAAGUCCAGUGUAGGGCUUAAACUCAAAACCUUGAGAUCGAGACCUGAACUGAGAUCAAGAGUCAGACACUUAACUGAUUGAGCCACCCAAGGCACCUCCACUUAUGACU